UGAUGUUCUCUAAUUAGCUAUCGUUGCCCGCAACUUCACCUUUUAGGGGAAAAGAAAAACCGCCUCGGCUCACUGAUCGAAUACCCCUUAGGCCCUCACCACCUCUCAUCUCCUGCUAAAGAAUCUCAGAUCUAAUCUCCUCUCAUUGGAAUUAUCUUGUUCGGCAUUCCAAUGGUUAUUUAACAUCUUCUACCUUGUCGGUCUUGUGAAAGAAGCUGAGAUUAUGUUGUUCUGUGCCUGAAUUCGGUGUUUCGACGAGUUUGCAGUUGCAAUUGAGAAAAAUUUGAGCUUGGAAUGGGACUUUUAGAUGGGCUACAUGUCCCUUCUGACAAAGUUGGUCAGCCAGGUGCCCCUCCUGCUCUAGCUCAGGGACGGCUCCAUAUGCAGUAGAAGGUGUAACGAGGCUUGAUCAAUAACUUGUAACAAUGGUGCAGUAUAACCUCAAGAAAAUUACAGUUGUUCCCAAUGGGAAAGAAAUGAUAGAAUUUGUUCUAUCUCGAACUCAAGGUUAAACCCCAACAGUUGUCCAUAAAGGUUAUGCAAUUUCUCGUCUUAGGCAGUUUUACAUGAGGAAAGUCAAAUACACACAACAGAACUUUCAUGAAAAGCUUUCUUCCAUUAUUGAUGAGUUCCCUAGGCUCUAUGAUAUCCACCCUUUUAUGGAGAUCUCCUCCAUGUUCUUUACCAUAAUGAUCGCUACAAGCUUUCCCUUGGACAAGUGAAUACUGCAGGAAACCUGAUUUCAAAAAUCUCCAAGGAUUAUGUUAAGCUGUUGAAGUAUGGUGACUCACUCUACAGAUGUUGUAUUUCUCAAUCUCUUGUCUCAAUUUGCAGAUCUUGUUCGUCCAUAUUAAUGGUUUUGUCAUCUUAUAUGAUGUAGAUGGUCUAGCGUAAGGUAACAUCAAAAGUUCCUCCUUGUUUUUGUUUAAUUUUUCGUUAUUUUUUCUAAUUUUGGAUAUCUAGGGUUUUUAGGUAGUUUCAUUUGCAGCUGAAGUACUAGCAAGAGUCGGCCCAUUAAUUAAGAGCAUGUGAAGCUUUAUAUCAGAGUACAUAAAAAUAAAGGGGAAAAGCAGUAGCAUCAGCUGAAAUGUAAGAUGCAUUGUCUUCUUACAACAAAAACAAUCCCCUCCUAAUUGACUUUAGAAAAUGAUGGUUUAACAAUAAGACAGAUAUUAUUAUCUACAAAUAUUAUGGGGUGAGAGGGGAGGUGAUCAAACAUUCAAACCGACAUGUUUCUAUUGCAAUUGUAUAGAGAAUGUUCUUUGUAUGCUCUGGAGGCCUUGAUAUGUAUUUGGCAACUUAGAGAACUAGGUUAGAGCAAUAACAUUCUUCUCUUUCUGAAUUCUGAAACAAGGCCGCUUAACUUUCUUUUUGAAAACAGGUUAGAGCUUGGUCUUUUGUUGGGGGCUCUUAGAUGUGCUUAGAAUAUGCAUUAGGGCUACCCUGCUGAAACAUUUGUGUUAUUAUAUGCGCUUGAGGUUGUUUUUAAGGUUUGAAUUGAAAUUUAUUAUUCCAGUUUAUUAUUUUGGUUGGCCCGUUAUCUGAUUAUUAUCAACCUGCAAUAGCACUCGCUUCACAGCACUGGAAAGAACAGUAGUGUGUCUGAGUGUUCUUUGCGGUUAGGGGCUGACUUUUUUGGUUACUGCUUCUAUUUUUCUGUUGCAAUUUGUUGCUCUGGUGCUCUUUUCUUCUACUAUCCAAUUUGUUGUUCUGGUGUUAUUUUCUGCUGCUAUCCUAGCUGUGUCGUCCUUUUUCGGAUAAGUUACGAAAAAUAGCUAACAUGUUUAUUGUGUAAGUGGUGUUUUUUUCUUUGUUACUCUGUUCUUAACCUAUGUCCUAUUUAGUAGGUACUGAACAUGUUAGCUUUGGUUAGUUACUAGUAAGAAAACAAAGAAAACACACCUCCAAAGUUUGUCAGCCUUGCUGAUCUCUUCUUCUGUGCAGGCGAUUUCAGCCCACCCAUAAAGUCAUCAUACACUAUUUCAGCCGACCCGUAAUUCCAUAAAGUCUUCAAACAUUGUUGCAACACAAACUAUGGUUAGUAGGCAUUGAUAGGCUAAUCACCCCCAACUAGCCAGUACGUCUCACUUUCAACUAUCAAGUAUCACCCUGAUUGUCUAGUGAAUAUCUCCCAAUAUCUAGUCCAUGCUAUCAGGCCUCCACUCUUCUUCGAGCUACACCUUAUCCCAACGCAAAUAUCCAAGUCUAUCACUAUCCCGAUACCCAUGCUGUUGAUAACUUUUGUUAAGUUUAUUAUUAAUUUAGCUUUAUCAUCUAAGAGACAAAGAAAUGCAAACUAUUGACUCUUGGGACUGGAUACCCUGGUAUAGCCGUUAUUGUAGUGGUAUAUAUGUCAGAAGCUAGGAAAAAUGAAACUGGUAUAGCUGAUACUGAUUUUGACUCCGACUCUACCCAGUCAAUCAAUGAAAAUAAGAGUUUAUGAAUGUUGUAAUUUUAUGUUGUCAGUACAUAAAAGUCUUCUGGUAUUUCAUGAUUUUUGUAGAAAAGAGUAAAUGUUUAUGAUGGCUUGAUCAGGGUUUUAUACAAGGGAGAUUCAACCAUUCGGAUUUGAAACAAUAUGUUUAUAUAAUGUAUUUGCAGGGGCUAAUCUGGUCUGUACGUAUGAACUAUGAAGUUGAUAAGUUGAUAAGAAGGGAAUCAACCCUCGUCUUUUAUUAGAGUUAACAUUUAUUGUUUCAUUGUUGUUUUGGUUCAUUUCCGACGGGUGAUUUGGAUUUCCAACUCAUGCUUAUUUCAUUUUGAUUUUUCUUUGAAGAUCGUCCAACGUGAUAAGGAGCCGCAUGAGAAUGAAGCCAUGACACUUGCGCUUAUAAGCUACUACCACUAUUAGAUCCUAGUUUUUCUAGGAUUUAGUUCUUCGGUUUAGUAGAUACAAUUUGUGUUUUUUUUAAUUAUGUUUUGGACUAUUUAGUUAGUAACAUAUUAGUGACAUUAUCAUGUACUAUGGAUUUUAACGUACUAUGUACUUCUAGAUUUUUGUAAGUAUUUUUAAUGUUAUGUUGAUCGAAGACCAAUUAUUUAAAAUUCAAGUUUUAUUCUUCUUGUUA